ensembl:lncRNA
GUAGAGUCUGUGUCGCUGGUAGAGCCCCUGUAGCUCAGUAGGUAGAGUCUGUGUAGCUCAGUAGGUAGAGUCUGUGUAGCUCAGUAGGUUGAGCCUGUGUUGCUCAGUAGGUAGAGCCUGUGUCGCUGGUAGAGCCCCUGUAGCUCAGUAGGUAGAGUCUGUGUAGCUCAGUAGGUAGAGUCUGUGUAGCUCAGUAGGUAGAGUCUGUGUCGCUGAUAGAGCCCCUGUAGCUCAGUAGGUAGAGCCUGUGUAGCUCAGUCGGCAGAGUCUGUGUAGCUCAGUAGGUAGAGCCUGUGUCGCUGGUAGAGCCCCUGUAGCUCAGUAGGUUGAGCCUGUGUCGCUGGUAGAGCCCCUGUAGCUCAGUAAGUAGAGCCUGUGUAGCUCAGUAGGUAGAGUCUGUGUCGC